UCAAUCUUAGUGGCGAACGGGUGAGUAACACGUAUCCAACCUGCCGAUAACUCGGGGAUAGCCUUUCGAAAGAAAGAUUAAUACCCGAUGGUAUAAUAAAACCGCAUGGUUUAAUUAUUAAAGAAUUUCGGUUAUCGAUGGGGAUGCGUUCCAUUAGGCAGUUGGUGAGGUAACGGCUCACCAAACCUUCGAUGGAUAGGGGUUCUGAGAGGAAGGUCCCCCACAUUGGAACUGAGACACGGUCCAA
rnacentral:rRNA from 1 species